GACGAACGCUGGCGGCGUGCUUAACACAUGCAAGUCGAACGGAAAGGCCCUGCUUGCCGGGUACUCGAGUGGCGAACGGGUGAGUAACACGUGGGUGAUCUGCCCUGCACUUCGGGAUAAGCCUGGGAAACUGGGUCUAAUACCGGAUAGGAGCCAUUUUUAGUGUGAUGGUUGGAAAGUUUUUUCGGUGUAGGAUGAGCUCGCGGCCUAUCAGCUUGUUGGUGGGGUAAUGGCCUACCAAGGCGGCGACGGGUAGCCGGCCUGAGAGGGUGGACGGCUACAUUGGGACUGAGAUACGGCCCAGACUCCUACGGGAGGCAGCAGUGGGGAAUAUUGCACAAUGGGCGCAAGCCUGAUGCAGCGACGCCGCGUGGGGGAUGACGGCCUUCGGGUUGUAAACUCCUUUCGCUAGGGACGAAGCUUUUUGUGACGGUACCUAGAUAAGAAGCACCGGCUAACUACGUG
rnacentral:rRNA from 1 species